rnacentral:rRNA from 1 species
AAGGUGGAUUUGUAAGUAAUUAUUUUUAUAGUUUUAAUAAGUGAAGGGUGGAAUAACAUGUGUACAUAUUGCCCGUCGCUCUCGCUAUUUUUGAGAUAAGUCGUAACAUAGUUGAUGAACUGGAAAGUGUAUCUUUUUGA